UGUGAGAGGUAACCUAAGAAUUUAUAAACAUAGUAACGUAACCUAUGAGAAAUAACAAUUUUGAUAGAAUUAAGCUGUUAAAUUGACGUACCGAAUGGAAAAAAUACUUCGUACUGUUCGGUUUUUCAAUUUUCACGAACAUCGGCAAUGAGAGAUCCUUUGUACUCUACAUCGUGUCACGACGAGUAAAAAUAAAAAUGAGCUAUAGAAAAAUGCACGACGAAAAACGAACGAGACGUUCAUCUGCUAAACGGAAAAGACACGAAGAUAUGAAAAGUAGGAGGAAUUCUGAUGGAGAGAGAUCCGAUCCACGGCGGGACGAGCGGUCGGAUUUUUCAUUCCAGAAAUAUCGCUACGAGCUGAGCAAAGUUUUCUCGGCAAAUCCUAACCUGGUGCAAGACCCAGAGGAUUUUUGGAAAUUUGUAGGAAAGUAUGAGGUGGUUGAGAAAAAACGCGGUAGUAUGGGAGCGGAGGACAAGUUGCUCAAUGAUUCGCAACAGUCGAGAGACCCGACCGUCUACCACAGGUCACACUGCUUAAAUGUCAGAGUGAAUUUAAGUUUAGGAGAACUGUUUGCACGAGUUCCACCUGCGAAAGAAUUAACAGACAGUAAAUUAUGCACAUUUCGAGACGUAAUCAAUCUCUAUCUAGACUUUAAACAGAAGGAGAAAUUUGCUAAGUUGAAAAAACUCAGGGAAAGUCAAGCCAAUCUGCCGGUCUAUCAAUACCGGGACGAGAUCGUCGAAGCUGUUAAAAAUGAGCGUGUUGUUAUCAUAGCUGGGGACACAGGAUGUGGAAAGUCUACUCAAGUUCCUCAGUACUUGUACAAAGGUGGAUUCGGAAGAAUCGCCUGUACUCAACCUCGCAGAAUAGCUUGCAUAUCACUGGCUAAACGUGUCGCAUUUGAAACUUUGACUGAGAACCUUACAGAAGUUGGCUACCAGAUCAGGUUUGAAAAGCAGAGAAAUCAGGACACUAAGAUCACGUUUAUUACCGAGGGACUGCUGCUGCGCCAGGUAUCGGGUGAAAUGGGAUUAUCUCAUUACGACGUAAUCGUGCUCGACGAGGUGCACGAGAGACAUUUACAUGGUGACUUUUUGUUAGGAAUUAUGAAAUGUAUAAUACAUCAGAGACAGGAUUUAAAACUAGUGCUAAUGUCUGCUACAAUAAAUAUUCAACUGUUCAGUAAUUACUUUGCCAAAGAAGAUGUCAAGGUGAUCCAAGUUCCAGGUAGACUGUAUCCGAUACAGUUGAACUAUCGACCGAUAGCAGUAGACGAUUUGCGACAAAAAUCCGAUAGAUUCAAUCCAAGUCCGUACGUGCAAAUCAUGCAAAUGAUUGACAAGAAGUAUCCACAAGACGAAAAGGGCGAUUUACUCGUAUUCCUCAGCGGUAUGAGCGAGAUUACUGCAGUUGUUGAUUGCGCAAAGGAAUAUGCUUCUAAAACUAACAACUGGAUAGUAUUGCCUUUACACAGUACUUUGUCCAUAGCUGAACAAGACAAGGUGUUUGAUUACGCCCCAGAUGGGGUUCGUAAAUGCAUUGUCUCUACAAAUAUUGCUGAAACGUCAAUAACCAUUGAUGGUAUCAGAUUUGUUGUGGACAGUGGAAAGGUGAAGGAAAUGAGCUAUGAUCCGAUCUGCAAAAUGCAACGGUUGAAAGAAUUUUGGAUCAGUAAAGCGAGCGCAGAGCAAAGAAAAGGAAGAGCUGGGAGAACGGGACCUGGUGUUUGCUACAGGCUUUAUUCUGAAGAGGAAUACACAGCGUUAGAGAAAUACUCGACUCCUGAACUUCAGCGAGUGCCUCUGGACUCCUUAUUAUUACAAAUGGUUGCCAUGGGGCUACCAGAUUCGCGGAAAUUUCCGUUUAUAGAACCUCCACCGCCAGAGAGCAUUGAAAACUCGAUACUUUCAUUGAAAGAACACGGUGCUUUAACCGAUGAUGAAAAACUAACUGUGAUUGGCAAAACACUUUCGAGACUCCCAGUCGAUAUAACUAUAGGGAAAAUGUUGGUGAUGGGCUCACUAUUUCACCAAGUCGAACCUGUUUUAUCGCUCGCUGCUGCUCUCAGCAUUCAAAAUCCGUUCACAAACAGAGCAUACAGAGACACUGAGUGUGAGAACUCUAGGAAGAAACUAGAAUCUGACCAUGGGGAUCCUAUAACUUUAUUGAACGCGUACAAAGAAUGGCUGGAAGUAAAACAGGAAAGCAGUCGUGAAGUCAGAGGAAAUUCAAGUACGAGUAGAAAGUGGUGCAAACGACGAGGGCUGGAGGAACAAAGAUUUUAUGAAAUGACCAAGCUACGGACGCAAUUCAAAGAACUGCUUCAAGAUUGUGGGUUGCUAAAAAAUCUCCAGGAACCAAGCUCCUCGAUGACUAGCACAGAGCGGAUGCUGAGGCAUGGAGAAAUGAAGUUGCUGAAGACGCUUAAGCGUACUUACAAGCAAACGGCACCUAGAAAACGUAAAGAGUUGAAGUUAGACCUGUUCGAUAUACAAAUGGAAGACAAAGACGAUAAUGAUGGUGAGAUUGACAUAAAGGACGUAGAAUUUCGCAUGAGAAACGACUCGUCGCAGGUCCAGAACCUUCUUACUGCAGCAACUGCCUGCAGCUACAAAGACUUGAUGAUGCUCAAGUUAAUUUUGUGCAGCGGAUUGUAUCCCCAAUUCGCUUGCGCUGAUGAAUUUAACUAUUGUAAAUCUACCAGUGAGCAGCUAUUUCACACAAAAGCCAAGCCCUACAUCGCUCUCCACCCAAUGAGCUUUUUCGGGAACCAUCCACAAGUCUUGCAACUUGAAGAACCAGACAUCAUGUCAAUCCCAGCAUUCAAAUCAAAGUCUCCGCUCAGCCCGAAGCAUCAACUGCUAACCUACUUGUCACUCCUAGAAACAACCAAACCAUAUUUAGUAAAUACUAUGAGGAUGCCAGCUGCCCAAACGCUACUGCUUUUUGCGCAUGAAAUUGAUACCAAUUACACAUUUUCAAUUCUGUGACUCGUGGCUAAAAUUAGAAUUUCCAAUGCCGGACAGCGGACAAACAUUAUUGAUGAAAGCCACUAAACUAAGACAGAAAUGGGACAUGCUUUUAACCCACAGAUUGGAAGAAGCCUCGCCGUUAAUCACUUCCAAAAAGGAU
rnacentral:misc_RNA from 1 species